rnacentral:tRNA from 1 species
AAGAUUUUAAGUUAAAAAAACUAUUUGCCUUCAAAGCAAAAAAUAUAGGAAAAGUAAGUCUUA